GGGGGUGUACACACCUAGAACUGUAUAUGAGAGCUAAACUACAAGGAAACCUGAAAACUGGGAAUGACAAUAACAAAAGUGGAAAUACUCGCUGGCCAGUUGGAGUAUGUUUUUCUUUUCAUAAGGGGUUAGGGUGCAAGUUCAAUGAUAAAUGCAAGUUUCAGCACAGAUGUUUUAACUGUGGUUUUAACCACUCAUUUUCAGCAUGUAAAAAACCGGUUCGGCUACCCUACAAGUUCACACACAAAACAGUAACAACAUAAAAAAGAUACAAGGUGGGAAUAACCAGCCCUUUCGUGGUCCCUCCGUAUCUAAUAACAGAGACGACACCUCUUCCCCAAGGACAGAAAAAACUGUCCCCACUAGAAAAUGAGGUUAAAUAUAAUUUUCAUAGCAAUACACCAGUCAAGGUUGAUAGGCUUGGAUAUUGGUUAAAAGGAUAUAAUAUAAAAAUGUACAAUUAUUUGGUUAACGGCUUUAAAUUUGGAUUCGAUGUUGGAUUCAGAGGUUCUGUUAAUCAUAAUACAGUUGAUAAUUUAUUAUCAGCAAAGACAAAACCGGAGAUUGUGAGACAAAAAAUUCAAAAUGAAAUUAAUGCGAAUAGAUUUGUUGGCCCUUUUGAUGUAAAACCUUUUACAGAAAUGCAAUUAUCCCCCUUUGGGACUAGCAGAAAAGAAAAUACCUGGGACAUAUAGAAUGAUCCACCACUUAUCCUUCCCUGAAGGCUCAUCAAUCAAUGACAAUAUA
rnacentral:lncRNA from 1 species